AGCAGUAGCCGCGGGAAUACGGAGGGUGCGAGCGUUAAUCGGAAUAACUGGGCGUAAAGGGCACGCAGGCGGCUAUUUAAGUGAGGUGUGAAAUCCCCGGGCUUAACCUGGGAAUUGCAUUUCAGACUGGGUAGCUAGAGUACUUUAGGGAGGGGUAGAAUUCCACGUGUAGCGGUGAAAUGCGUAGAGAUGUGGAGGAAUACCGAAGGCGAAGGCAGCCCCUUGGGAAUGUACUGACGCUCAUGUGCGAAAGCGUGGGGAGCAAACAGGAUUAGAUACCCCUGUAGUCCCUGUCUCUUAUAC
rnacentral:rRNA from 1 species